rnacentral:lncRNA from 1 species
GCGGAGUUUAACUGAUACGUGACCUUCUUCUGGGAACACUUGACCGAUGCCAAGAACAUGGACACCUUCUACCAGUGACAUAUUUUGGUGAGCCAGCCAGGAGGAAGAGAGACCAUCAAGCUUCAGAUGAUCAUGCAACAAAGGUUCCAGCCAGUUGCAGGUGAAGACACCACCUCCAGCAGUAAAGAAGCUACCCCACCUCCACUAGACAGAGCAGAGCUGGAGUGCAAUGGCAUGAUCUCCGCUCACCACAACC